rnacentral:lncRNA from 1 species
ACACACAUACACCAUGUUCCAUCUUUCUUAGGUACUAGUAUCACCAAAACCGCGCACGGACUCAUGCUCUCCUUGAUAUACCCUUUGUUGAGGAGUUCCUCAACUUGAUGUCCUUGGCGUCCGUAGGGUUGCCUCUAUAAGCUGGCUUAUUUGGCAAUUGUAAGCCCGGCACAAAGUCAAUUAGUGCUCAAUUCCCCGAAGCAGAGGCAAUCCUUGCAGAAGUUCUUUGGGAAAUACAUCUCCAUAAUCCUGCAACACACAAGAAAUCAAAGGAGAAAUGGAAGAAUUAGUGGGGUUAGUGUUAAAACAAUGAGCCAAAAGUAACAUAGGUAUGUCCUCAUCAUGAUCCACGAAGAGUUCCUUCUUUCUAACCAACAUCACCAUGAUUUCUUUCCCUUUUGAUGUUGAGGAAGCCUCAGAUACCCCUACUACCCCACCUAUGGGUUCCCCUCUUUUUUCUUCCUUUCAGAUUUUUUUCCCUUUUUCUUCAAUUCUCUCAUCUUUUGAUGCUACUUGUUUACUUAGGAAGGCAAAAGAGGAUGAAGUGUGACCUUUCGACCAUUCUUAUCAAGUGUAUAUCGAUUGGACCUCCCAUCGUGUUUGGUAGACCAAUCAUAUUUCCAAGGUCUACCUAACAACAAGUGACACGCUUGCAUCGGUAGCACAUUACAAAGCACUUCAUCGUGGUAGUUUCUCACCUUAAACUGUAUCACACAUUACCUUGUGACCUUUAAUUCACCACAUUCAUUCAAUUAUUGCAACUUUUAAGGACUAGUGUGCGGUGUAGUUGGCAACUUCAAGAAGUUUACCAUAGCAACACUAACAACAUUUUCACAACUACCACUAUCAAUCACCAAACUGCACACACUCCCCUUUACAAGAUAUUUUGUAUGGAAUAGAUUUUCCCUUUGACUUGGAUCAUCUAUUGCCUUACUAAUCAUGACACCCGUAACUAUAAAGUUUGGAACUACACACUCCCCUCUUGUGGAUAAAUAUCUUCACCAUUAUUAUCAUGUGGUCCAUUCUCAGGUUCCUCUCCAUCUUGAGGCUCGACCUCAUCCUCUCUCUUUUCAAGAUCCACCUCCUCACCAAGGUAAUACAAUCUUCCUUCUCGUAAGAUCACGUUGUGUUGGUUUGGACAUUCAUUGGAUUUAUGUCCCCAACCUUGGCACUUGAAACACUGGAAUCUUUUUGGGUUAGAUUACUUGUGAACUUCUUAUUUUGGAGGAAUUUUGUGGACUGUUUUGGGCUCGGCCAGCCUUGUAGUGGCGGGUUGGUCCUUGUUUUUAGGCCAACCCGAAGAGGAUUGAGUCAUC